CGAGCGCGUCUGAUUUGAUGCUUGCAUUAAUGAAAGAUGAGCGGCGGACGGGUGAGUAACGCGUGGGUAACCUGCCCUAUACACAUGGAUAACAUACUGAAAAGUUUACUAAUACAUGAUAAUAUAUAUUUACGGCAUCGUAGAUAUAUCAAAGUGUUAGCGGUAUAGGAUGGACCCGCGUCUGAUUAGCUAGUUGGUGAGAUAACUGCCCACCAAGGCGACGAUCAGUAGCCGACCUGAGAGGGUGAUCGGCCACAUUGGAACUGAGACACGGUCCAAACUCCUACGGGAGGCAGCAGUGGGGAAUAUUGCACAAUGGGCGCAAGCCUGAUGCAGCAACGCCGCGUGAACGAUGAAGGUCUUCGGAUCGUAAAGUUCUGUUGCAGGGGAAGAUAAUGACGGUACCCUGUGAGGAAGCCCCGGCUAACUACGUGCCAGCAGCCGCGGUAAUACGUAGGGGGCUAGCGUUAUCCGGAUUUACUGGGCGUAAAGGGUGCGUAGGUGGUCUUUCAAGUCGGUGGUUAAAGGCUACGGCUCAACCGUAGUUAGCCUCCGAAACUGGAAGACUUGAGUGCAGGAGAGGAAAGUGGAAUUCCCAGUGUAGCGGUGAAAUGCGUAGAUAUUGGGAGGAACACCAGUAGCGAAGGCGGCUUUCUGGACUGCAACUGACACUGAGGCACGAAAGCGUGGGUAGCAAACAGGAUUAGAUACCCUGGUAGUCCACGCUGUAAACGAUGAGUACUAGGUGUCGGGGGUUACCCCCCUCGGUGCCGCAGCUAACGCAUUAAGUACUCCGCCUGGGGAGUACGCACGCAAGUGUG
rnacentral:rRNA from 1 species